AUGAACGCUGGCGGCGUGCCUAAUACAUGCAAGUCGAGCGAACAGAUGAGGAGCUUGCUCCUCGGACGUUAGCGGCGGACGGGUGAGUAACACGUGGAUAACCUACCUAUAAGACUGGGAUAACUUCGGGAAACCGGAGCUAAUACCGGAUAAUAUAUUGAACCGCAUGGUUCAAUAGUGAAAGACGGUUUUGCUGUCACUUAUAGAUGGAUCCGCGCCGCAUUAGCUAGUUGGUAAGGUAACGGCUUACCAAGGCGACGAUGCGUAGCCGACCUGAGAGGGUGAUCGGCCACACUGGAACUGAGACACGGUCCAGACUCCUACGGGAGGCAGCAGUAGGGAAUCUUCCGCAAUGGGCGAAAGCCUGACGGAGCAACGCCGCGUGAGUGAUGAAGGUCUUCGGAUCGUAAAACUCUGUUAUUAGGGAAGAACAAAUGUGUAAGUAACUAUGCACGUCUUGACGGUACCUAAUCAGAAAGCCACGGCUAACUACGUG
rnacentral:rRNA from 1 species